GGAUAAAAAAGGCUGCAGUCCACUGUGGGAAAGGGGAAGGUUUUGACUUUGCUUUGUCAGAUUUAUUUCUAGGCUCAUGACUUCACAAGAAAAAAAUCCAUAGAAAUUGCAUCGUUCCGAUUCCCAUCACACCCUUUUCUUCCUUCUCUGUCUCGAUCUUAUAGGCUGCUAUUUUAAAAACUGUUUGCAGUUGAAAAUAAUGCUGUGCAGCACUGAGAGGGCUGGAAUGCUGCCUUCCCCAGGGGAAAGCACUUGCCCUCCCAUCCCUGUGGGAUGGGGCAGCAUUCAGCCACAUGUCUCUGAGCAGCUCUUCUGCCUCCUGCUCAGUGCUCCCUUUGCUCGGUCUCCUUCCUCAUGCUCUCUGGACAAGGUAAUUCUCAACCAGAGCAGGGUAAUGUGCCUCCAGAUACACUGGUGUGUCCGUGUGCAGGGCCUUUAAAGAGCUGGGGUAUACGGGAGCGUGGCGGUUAAACGCUGAUGUGUGCAUUAAGUUGUUGUGGUCUAUUUUUAGCAGUUGUGGCCUCUGUGUAUUACAACCCGAAGUCACCUCCCUGUUUAUAGUCACAAAAAAGCAACUAAAAAAAUACAUUAAUCAGACCUGCAGACUGGCCAAAAAGGAAUCUUGUCUCGGUAUUUGUAGAACAAACAAACAUUAGCAACCAUAGGAAUGUCUUUGUGUUCUCUUUGGUUAAACAUGGACCUCCUCUGCUGCUGACCCGUUGGCUGAGCAGUAGAGGUCCCAGCGUUUGUGCUGUGAGCAGUUGUCACCAACACCUGGGGUUCUUUAGGACAGUGCCACAAAGCUAUGAUGGCCAUUAGGAAGGAGGAGGCCAGGUUUUGCACUUAGUGAUUGAGGCCCGACCCUUUGUUUGACUUAAAUCAUAGUUACUGCAGCGUACCUGUGCUGAGAUGAGCUCCCUAAGCAUAGCUGCUCCUGGUGUGCACCAGUGAGAGUCAGAAGAGCACCAGGCUGCUCAUGCUCUCUUUUCUUGUCUGGUCUGAAAAAAAGCCCAAAUCUGCAUAUCCCUCUGGCUAGUGCAGUGCUGGGGUUUCUCAUCUCACACAGUUGGCUUUGUUGGCUUUGCGCUCUGCUCUGAAUGCAGAGGAGCCCUUCUUUCACGUUUGCUAUCUGAUUUCAUGUUUCCUCGUGCCCAAUCUGUCUGACUGCCUUUGCUUUUCUCAGAAUGGCUCCAAUCGCCCCUUUUUGCCAUCUCAGAGGAAAGGCACAAUUGCAUUAUUGUACUGUGUGAAUGCGUUUUCUCCUGUGUGUAGCUGAAUGGGAUAUUAUUUAAAUAUCUUAAGCAUGCUCCUAGUUGGAGUAAUGACAUGCUAGGAAUGGCAGAGUGAGGAGUAUUCACAUUCAAACUCCUGAAUUUUGGUGAACGAGUAAUCAAAGCUCCAUCACUUCCUACACAGUUCAACAUUUCGUUAAGCAAACGGUUACCGUAAAAACACCAUCUGACCACAUUAAAACAAAUAAACAGAAACCCCAAAAUGGUUAUUUAUGGUGAUCUUCAGGUCACGUGAAAUCUUUGCUGAGCCCUUUGCAAAGGAGAAGCUGACUUGAGGUGCUGAAGGCCAACCAGUGCCCGCUCCUGAACCAGCCACCCUGCUUCAGCUCACCUCAUGCUACCCUGGACCGGGCAUCAGUGCCAGCACCUGAGAGCCCACGCUCCGUGGCAGAUCAGGGGGAUGAUCUGCAAUAAAAAAUGACCUGGCUGACUGCAGUGAACUGCUGCCCAUCCCAGCACACGCCAAGAGCCCAGACGUAACCACUUCGUACAUUCCCAGUCUCCAGCAACCAGCAGCUCUGGGAUGGAACUGUGUAAAGAUUGCCAGGACAAGCCGAAUGAAAAAGGAACCAAGUGUGCCUGGAAAAUGAAUGGCUAGGAUUCACCAGAACGAGCUGGAUGAAAAGAGAGGUAAAAAUGCAC
ensembl:lncRNA